CCUACGGGGGGCUGCAGUCGAGAAUCAUUCACAAUGGGGGAAACCCUGAUGGUGCGACGCCGCGUGGGGGAAUGAAGGUCUUCGGAUUGUAAACCCCUGUCAUGUGGGAGCAAAUUAAAAAGAUCGUACCACACGAGGAAGAGACGGCUAACUCUGUGCCAGCAGCCGCGGUAAUACAGAGGUCUCAAGCGUUGUUCGGAAUCACUGGGCGUAAAGCGUGCGUAGGCUGUUUCGUAAGUCGUGUGUGAAAGGCGCGGGCUCAACCCGCGGACGGCACAUGAUACUGCGAGACUAGAGUAAUGGAGGGGGAACCGGAAUUCUCGGUGUAGCAGUGAAAUGCGUAGAUAUCGAGAGGAACACUCGUGGCGAAGGCGGGUUCCUGGACAUUAACUGACGCUGAGGCACGAAGGCCAGGGGAGCGAAAGGGAUUAGAUACCCUUGUAGUC
rnacentral:rRNA from 1 species